rnacentral:misc_RNA from 1 species
CUAAGCCACACUCUCUCUCUGUCUAUAUCUAUGUCUAUCUCUCUCCAUCUCUAUACUAUAAGACAGAUAGCCAGCCAUAGUGGUGUGUUGUGUAGAUCUCUCUGUCUCUCUGUCCCACCCCCUACAGGGACAGACGUUUCCCUCUCUCUCUCUCUCCUCUCUCUGUUGUUAGUGAAACGGAGAAGGAAAUGUCGUCUUUACAUUUACCAAGAGUAAUUAGUCAACGAGGAAAGACAGCCGUGGAAGUUGAGAGGGAGAACUUCGAGAAAGCUCAGUCAAUUGCUAUCAACAAAGCUAUCAAUUCAAAUGUACAUCCAGUCAAGGAAAAGCAUGUGCGAAGUGCCAUACUCGGAACGUUUCAUGAAAGCGGUGCCGGUGUCUUUUGGGCGACCACAUCUAAACUUCCACUUCAAGGAAAUGCUAUUAUUUGCUGGAAGUUUCUCCAUGUCCUGCACAAGCUGCUCCGGGAAGGACAUGCUAAUGUUAUUUUGGAUUCCCAGAAAUACAUUUCCUUGUUGAAGGACAUUGGAAAAUUAUGGGGUCACCUAAAGGAUGGAUACGGUCGGCUGAUAGCUGCGUAUACGAAGCUUCUAAUUCAGAAACUCUCUUUCCACAAAAAGAAUCCUAGAAUUCCUGGAAGCUUGACCAUGACAGACGAACAAUUCAAUAAAAUUUUUGGAGCUGAUGUAAAUAACUAUUUUGAAGUGUCAUGUGACAUGCUUGACUACCUGGAUGAGAUCCUUGUGUUGCAGGAAGCAGUAUUUGGCUCACUAGACAUGUCUCGGUCAAACUCAAUGACCAACUCAGGCCAGUGUCGACUCGCUCCACUCAUACCCUGUAUACUUGACUCAUGCCAGCUCUAUGACUAUUUGGUGAAGUCACUCUUCAAGCUUCACUCAAGUCUACCGCCAGAUACACUUUCUGGACAUAGAGAUCGAUUCCUUGCGGGAUACAGGCAUUUGAAACAGUUCUAUCACCAAAGUGGGACCCUGCAGUAUUUCAAGAACUUGGUUCAAGUCCCUCUUCUACCAGAUGAUCCCCCAAACUUCACUAUUGCCUCCGACUUUAGCAAACAUGUCAAGCCUGUUGCAGUUGUACCCGAAGAGAUGGAACCAGAAGCAGAGACUCCAGAAUUCGAUGGAAUCGGUUUCCUAAUAGAUACCUCUUCACCUAUUCAAGAAACAGACAAAUUUGAUGAAACUUUUGGUGAAGGUAGUAUGGAUAGUUUUAAUUUCAAUGGACAACCACAGAUUGAUGAAAGGGAUAUGAUAAUAGAGCAACUACACAAAGAAAUUCAACAACUCCGGGAGGAAAUCGAGAGGCUGCAAACAGAGGCACAAAUGAAAAUUCAGCCCCUCCUGGAGGAGAAGGAGCAACUAAAAAAGAUCCUAACAGAGUUACAGUUAACCCUUGAUAAUACUUUGAAGGAAAACGAGCUAAUCAAGAAAGAACUCGAGGAAAUGAAGACGGUCUUACCAGUAGCAGAUAAACUAAAUGAUUCUGAAAAAUUGGUGAAAGCAAAUGAAGAAAAAUUCAAGAAGAUGAAGGAUAUUUAUGGCAAACUACGAGAGGAACAUGUCACCCUGUUGAGAGUCCAUGCCGAAGUAAGCAAACAGUUGAAAGAUGAAAAGAAGUUAACAGAAGAAAAAGACAUGUUAUUAAAGAAGACAACCAGUGAGCUGGACAGUGUCCGUGAAGAGCAGAAACAGCUUGAGGUGGCCACCCAGGCCAAGACUGACCAAGUCUCCCUCCAACUGCAAUCCUCCACUCAACAAUGUUCACAACUGGAGAAAUCUUGUCAGGAAUUGACCAAGGAAAUCGAAUUAAUCAAAGCCCAGAAGCUCCAGCUGGAGACGGAUCUGAAUGACGUCCGUUCCAGCAGCCUUGCAUUGGAGGAAAGCCUUCAGGUGACGAAGACGGAGAAGGAGGAAACGGCGGAGAAACUGCAGAAGCAAGUGAACUGUUUACAGAAUGAACUGGAAGAGAAGACCAAGGAGAUGGUGGUUGCUAAGGAGACGCUGCAGAAGGAGAUGGAAGGGGUUCAAAGCCAACUGAAGAGCAGCCAAAGUACACAGCAGACAGCAGAGGAGAAUUAUACCAAAAAUAAAGAGGAGAUGGAGAGGAAAUACGAAGAUUUAUUGACGGAAAAGAAAACCAGCGACAAUGAACGUGAAGAGGCCCUCAAGAAACUCUACCAAUUACUUAUCGAAAGCUGUGUAAAGCAAUGCAACUCAAUUCUCUUGGAUGCCACAGAACAAUCGGACAAUCUUCUCCACCUUACUGUAGGUUGCUCAGCAGAUUAUUUAUUGGACCGAAUAUUACCUGUUUAUGAGUGUUUGGAGAAAUUAGGGAACUCAUUUCAGAAUUACAAAUCUAAUCCAAUUUCUAUACAAGACUUAAUCACUUCAAUGGUUGAUUUUUCACACCGACUCUCCGACUCUGUCCAGUAUGGUUUAGCAACGUCACACUCAGCCCAGCUAAGUGCUGGUGAAGAAUUAAACACGACCUGUAAGAACACAAUUGACGAAAGCAUGAAGGCGUUAACCCAAAUAGAGAAAGAUGAGAACUCUGUGUUGGCACAGUUUGGUGUAGUCUUAGAAAACGUCAAGAAGAUGCAGUCUUGUGCUGAGACGCUGUUACCAAAGAUUGCUGAUGUGAAAGACAAGGAGAUUGGAGACAUGGUUGAAUCAGAGAUGCAACUCACAACAAGUGCCAUUGACCUUGCAGCCAGUAAAAUUGAGGAAAUGUUGAAGAAAACGCAGGAAGACACAACUGGUUUAAAUCUGGAGGUCAACGAAAGUAUUCUCGAUGCGUGCACAGGCCUUAUGCAGGCUAUAAAAGUGCUUGUUGAGAAAUCUCGAGAUUUACAAAAAGAAAUCGUUGCCCAAGGGCGGGGUGCCUCAUCAGCCAAAGAGUUCUACAACAAACACCAUCGCUGGACUGAGGGACUCCUCUCAGCUGCCAAGGCUGUCGGAUGGGGAGCUACUGCCACCAUGGAGGCUGCUGAUAAAGUUGUCCAGGGUGAAGGCAAAUUUGAGGAACUAAUUGUGUAUUCCAAAGAGAUUGCUGCCAGUACAAUCCAGCUAGUGGUUGCCUCGAAGGUCAAAGCUGACCGCAACAGCAAACAUCUCAAAGAACUGACCGAUGCCUCAAAGAAGGUCAACCAAGCGGCCGGAAAAGUGAUUGGUUCAGCUAAAACAGGGGCAAACGCUAUCGAAGAACGAAGUUUAAUGGACUUUUCCAGUCUAAACUUACAUCAGACCAAAAAGCAGGAAAUGCAGAUAAAGGUGUUGAUUCUUGAGAUGGAGAAGGACUUGAAGAAUGAGUAUGAGAAAUUAAGCAACAUUCGCAAGCACCAUUACCAGCUGGCUGGUGAGAGUGAAGGCUGGGAUGUUGAAGAGGAACUUGAUGUCAUAGAGAAACAAGACCAAUCUGACACAGAGCAGUGGCUGCAGAUGUGUGAUAGCGACGGCGGUGGUGGCUCCCUUGACCUGCAGCUUCCAGACCCCAGUCUGGCUCCCUCGGGCACAGAUGCCGUCAGCUCCGACCACUAACACAUACGCAUACAUAUAUAUAUAUAUAUAUAUAUAUGUAUAUACAUACACAGACACACGGACACUCCAUAGCCGUUACUACUACCACCACCACCACCACCACUACUACUACUACUACUGCUACUGCUACUUGUGGUACUACAUCUGAUUUCUUGCUUGUUUCUUUUUUCUUCUUCUUUGGGCGUUUGGAUAACAAGAGCUGAACUCUGACAUCAUCCUCACCAUUGUACAGAAGAGAAGCCUAAUAUUACUGUGGAUGUGUGUGUGUGUGUGUGUGUAUAUAAGUAUAAAUGUAUGGGUAAGUGCCUGCAUGUGAGUGCAUACGUAAGUGUAUAUGUGUGUGUGUGUAUGUUUAUAUAUAUAUAUAUAU